rnacentral:rRNA from 1 species
GACGAACGCUGGCGGCGUGCCUAACACAUGCAAGUCGAACGGGGAUAUUGAUUUCGGUUGAUAUCCCAGUGGCGAACGGGUGAGUAACGCGUGAGCAACCUGACCUUUUGAGGGGGAUAACACCUGGAAACAAGUGCUAAUACCGCAUAAGACCACGGAGCGGCAUCGUUCAGGGGUCAAAGGAGGAAUCCGCAGAAGGAGGGGCUCGCGUCCCAUUAGAUAGUAGGCGGGGUAACGGCCCACCUAGUCGACGAUGGGUAGCCGAGCUGAGAGGCUGAUCGGCCACACUGGAACUGAGACACGGUCCAGACUCCUACGGGAGGCAGCAGUGGGGAAUAUUGGGCAAUGGGCGCAAGCCUGACCCAGCAACGCCGCGUGAGGGAAGAAGGCUUUCGGGUUGUAAACCUCUGUCCUUGGUGACGAAGGAAGUGACGGUAGCCAAGGAGGAAGCCCCGGCUA